CAGAACAGCAUAAAAUACACUUAGCAUUAAGCUAACAACCACUCAAAAUCCUUCAAGAACAUAGAAGCAAAAACAGAAGUUUAAAUAGCACUGUUAUCUUUUUAAUUUCAAGCUUUGGAGCAAAAUUCUGAUCUAAACCAGCCUUUCUUUUCAAUUAUAAGCAGAACUUGCUCAAAACAACAUGGCUAACUCAUUCCAGAUUGGCAGGCAGGAGAGAACUGCUAAUGCCACUUUACUCUCACACAGGAGCAUUGUGUGCCAAUUUACGACAUUUUACACCACAGAAAUUUAAGCUUUGUGGUCAAAACAGAGCGUUUCUGGACGUAGUGUACUCGAUGCGAACUGCAGAUGUAAACAAGUGAAUCAGUGAAACUAUGCAUAGGGCAACAGAAAAACGGGCUUUAUCCUCGAAGGUAAACAGUGAGGGAAAAUAUCUUCUAUCUUCCCUGUUUUUCUUCCAACCAAACAGAUGAGCAGUCAAUUAGCGACGUCAUCAUGAUGGAGGCAGAUGUGAGGCAGUCGACGGAAUCUAAAUAUUUGCCCAUGACUUAUUUCGUGUCCUCGCUGAUCUUUCAUUUUUGUUCCGUUCUUUGAACCAUUUCUUCUUCUUUGUUUUUCAGGGUUGUUGCUGUUGGAUGUUGCUGAAGUUUGUCAGGUUUACGACCUUUCCAGUCCUACUCCUUAAAGGUAUAGUGUGCCGAGGAUUACAGUCUCAACGUGUCUCACUCAAUCUCUCACAGUCUGCACAUCAGCCGCUGCGUUUACUCUGAGAUGAAGCAUCUUGAGUGGGUCGUAAUCCCACCAAACAGCACAAAUCACUAGUGUGAGUGAAGAAUGACCGUCUCACACGCUGCACUGUAUCCUGACACUGCAUAUGAUGCCAUCCUCUAUAACAACUCUUUAUAGGUCAGAGCUGCAGUUUAUAUCAGAGGUCCUGAAUGAAACUCAACUCUAUACCUCAGAUACCUGCGC